rnacentral:lncRNA from 10 species
ACAUUUAGUUUAUAGUUUAAAUGAUAAUAGCUCUUCCCCCCAAAUCAACUGCCUUUGUAAGGCUAAUGAAAGGCCUCCAGAUUAGGACAAUGAGAGGAGCCUGAAUUCUGCUAAGGUGUAGACAUAAAUGAUUACCAGCCAUGAUUCUGGAGGUCACACGAUUUGCAGCUUCUCCAAUUACUCCUGCAAAUAACAUCACUAUUGUAGAACCUAGGAUUGACCUUUUGAGAUGUCUUUUCAGUUUUUUUUUUUUUUUUUUUUUUUUCUUGAGAAAGACUCCCACUCUGUCUCCCAGGCUGGAGUGCAGUGGCAUAAUCUCGGCUCGCUGCAACCUCUGCCUCCCAGGUUCAAGUCAUUCUCCUACCUCAGCCUCCCAAGUAGCUGGGACUACAGGUGUGUGUCUUCACACCCAGCUAAUUUUCGUACUUUUAAUAGAGAUGGGGUUCACCAUGUUGGCCAGGCUGGUCUUGAAAUCCUGACCUCAAGUGAUCCACCUGCCUUGGUCUCUCAAAGUGCUGGGAUUACAGGCGUAAGCCACCAUGCCUGACCCCAGGUUUUUGCAUUUUUGACAAUGAUGGCUCCACCUGGACCACCAACUGGUCCUAUGGCCCCACCCAGAAGCAGACUAUUUCCAUACCCAUAUAAUUGCCUCCCCAACCAAUCAGCAGCAUUCAGUCUCCAUCCUGCCAGCCUACUCUUGAAAAACCCUAGCGUCUGAAUUUUCAGGGAGCCGUCCACUCGAGCCAGGGAUGCAAUCAGAGGAGAAGCCAAGAGGAUGAGAGGAGAAGGAGGAAGUGUCUGACACCUGCGAGGAGGCCACUGUAGUCAUCCAGAACCACCACUAAGAUACAUCUGUGCUGAAGGCCUCAGAUCGGCACUUCUCUGAAGAACGUUCCAGAAAAGAGUGGAAAACAUUGUUUUAGGUGGGCCCCUCUUGGAGGCUCAGGAGGCAUGCUAGCAUAGUAAAGGCUCUGAUAAGUCCUGCCGCAAGGAGAUUUUCUCAAGUUUGUUUGCUCACGGAAGUCCUUUGGGCAGAACACCCACCAGCAUCCUACAGUCUCUGCUCUGCCAUCCAUGAUGAACGGUCUGCCUACAGAACGGUCUGUGACUUUCUCUUGGUGGCUGUUGGGCUGGGAGGACCCAGACAAGAUCAGUCCCAGUUAUAUCCACCGAAUACAGAUCCACGGAUGUCCCCAGGUUGGUGGCUGCGUCUUUGCCCCAGCCUCAGUCCAUUAGAAAGUGAUCUUUGCAGCUGGAACUACUGACAUUAGCUCCAGUUCCUCCAGGUGUUAUUUCAUUCCUGGAUGCCUGAAAAUCCCUGAAAGUGCUGCUUGAGCCAAAUUCAGAAGACAUGAUAAACCAGGUUAAUUUUAGGGCCCAUGACAAUAAGCAGGUGUCCUCUCAGUGGGUUGGUUGGAUAAAUGAGUUAAUUUUGUCCAAGCUCCAAACAUCUUGGGGACUUUGGUGCUGAGGGUGCACAUAUGUGUUGGGGGGUGGGUAGGGGAAAUAGUUCCUGCAUAGAACUGCUCCAGGGGGUUUGUGGAGACCUGACAAAGGACAGCUGCAUACUCAGCACUGCAAUUACUGGUGGUAAAAUGGUCCGACGGUAGAUCCCAGUGAGGGAGCUUGGCGGGUGGGCUUGGCAUUCUUUAGAAAACCCCACAUCAGCAGCUUUGCUGGUGGGAGUGGGGGUGAUUGGGGACCUUGGUGCCUUAUCCUGAGGCUGGGCAAGGCAGUCCAGGGCAGUGGAGGGUGGGACAGAGGGGAAGGUGUUUUUCAGAGUGAUCCCAGCAAGGGCAGAGACAAGAAUGGGGGUUUUAGGCAGACCACAUAGGUCGUUGGGGGAACCUCAGCUGUGCUCUGAAGGGACUGUGUGAUGUUGGGGGGCUCCUUUGGACUCUCUGAGCCUCAAUUUCCUCAUCUGCAAAUGGAGGCAAUAAUCUCUCUCUCUCUUUCAGAAUAAUGAAUGGAAUAACUUGGGCUAAGUGCCUAGAAAUAUCUGGCACAUAAUAUGUGCUCUUGUGAAUACCAAUUCUCCCCCAUUUCUUUGGAUAAGCUCAGAGACUGGCAGAGAGGUGUUUUUUUUUUUUUUAACUUUUAAUUGAAGUGUAACAUACACAUAGAAAAGUGCAUACAGCUUUUUUUUUUUUUUAAUUUACAAUUUAUUUCAACUCUUCCAGGGCUGGGAAUGUUACAAAACCUUAAACCAAU